CAUUCAGCACUGAGAGUAGCAAGAACUCAAGCCGAAAUCUUGAUCUUUUCAGUGGUUCUUAGAGCUCAAAACUGCUAGUUUUCCUCCUCCUUCUGUUCUUCAAGUUUGAGUUGUAAAGUGAGGAGAGAAAACAUUUGUAAGGGUUGUCUCCUAAGCCCAUCAAAAGGAGUGAAUCUGUAAGAGGGUAGUUGGCCUUCACCUAUUGAAGGAAGGCU
rnacentral:lncRNA from 1 species